rnacentral:rRNA from 1 species
GAUGGACGCUGGCGGCGUGCCUAAUACAUGCAAGUCGAGCGAACGGACGAGAAGCUUGCUUCUCUGAUGUUAGCGGCGGACGGGUGAGUAACACGUGGAUAACCUACCUAUAAGACUGGGAUAACUUCGGGAAACCGGAGCUAAUACCGGAUAAUAUUUUGAACCGCAUGGUUCAAAAGUGAAAGACGGUCUUGCUGUCACUUAUAGAUGGAUCCGCGCUGCAUUAGCUAGUUGGUAAGGUAACGGCUUACCAAGGCAACGAUGCAUAGCCGACCUGAGAGGGUGAUCGGCCACACUGGAACUGAGACACGGUCCAGACUCCUACGGGAGGCAGCAGUAGGGAAUCUUCCGCAAUGGGCGAAAGCCUGACGGAGCAACGCCGCGUGAGUGAUGAAGGUCUUCGGAUCGUAAAACUCUGUUAUUAGGGAAGAACAUAUGUGUAAGUAACUGUGCACAUCUUGACGGUACCUAAUUAGAAAGCCACGGCUAACUACGUG